AUUAUCUUUCAAGGUGUUCAGACCUCAGUAGACAUUAUGUUUCAAGGUGAUCAGACCUCUGUAGACAUUAUCUUUCAAGGUGAUCAGACCUCAUUAGACAUUAUCUUUCAAGGUGAUCAGACCUCAGUAGACAUUAUGUUUCAAGGUGUUCAGACCUCAGUAGACAUUAUCUUUCAAGGUGUUCAGACCUCAGUAGACAUUAUGUUUCAAGGUGUUCAGACCUCAGUAGACAUUAUGUUUCAAGGUGAUCCGACCUCUGUAGACAUUAUCUUUCAAGGUGAUCAGACCUCAGUAGACAUUAUGUUUCAAGGUGUUCAGACCUCAGUAGACAUUAUCUUUCAAGGUGUUCAGACCUCAGUAGACAUUAUGUUUCAAGGUGUUCAGACCUCAGUAGACAUUAUCUUUCAAGGUGAUCAGACCUCUGUAGACAUUAUCUUUCAAGGUGUUCAGACCUCAGUAGACAUUAUCUUUCAAGGUGUUCAGACCUCAGUAGACAUUAUGUUUUAAGGUGUUCAGACCUCAUUAGACAUUAUGUUUUAAGGUGUUCAGACCUCAUUAGACAUUAUGUUUUAAGGUGUUCUAUGCAACAUGUUCUCAGCUAUUUAAUGUUGAAGCCAUCUUAAAUUAUAAUUUUCUUAGAACACCUUUAACAUCCUCAUCACUACAAACCCUGGUUUAACAUCCUCAUCACUACAAACCCUGGUUAAACAUCCUCAUCACUACAAACCCUGGUUUAACAUCCUCAUCACU